UGAACCUUUGGAGUCGUGCUGAUCAUUUCAACUUGGAACUAUCCUUUAUUUGAUUUAAAAGAAUCUGUAAGAUAACAUUCUUAGAUUUGAUUUAAUUAGUAUUUCAUUUUAUUCCAUAUCUUUGGAUGUCUCUGACCUAUCAAAAAGAAAAAAGAUUAAAAUACAUUGAUGUUCAUAGUUACUACAAGUAUGGUAACUAAUUGAAGGAUUAUAAUAAUGAACCAAGUGAAUUUUAGAGAUUAACUUGUCAAAAAAGUAAUUGGAAGAUAUUCCAGAACUAGGAUGUUUAAUAGUUUUUUUCACUUUAUCUUUCUUUGGAGGUACUAUAUGUUAUUGUAACCGGCUGUGUUAGCUGUGUUGUUUGUGAACGCUCAACAUUUACAGGGCUUCUCUAUUUGUUCCUCUAUUUAUUGGAUUCCAGAAACAGUAAAUUGAUCAACAUGUGCAUACUUUUUAUUGUCUUACAUGAAAAGAAUACAGGGCAAAAAACGCGUCAUACUUGGCUUGAUUAUGGCUGGACUGUGAAUUUUUAUAUUUAGGCUACAAUUUGAUUUCUUAACUUGCUUUUAAGCAUUUAUUUGUAUUCUUGAGUAAAUUUUUCUAAUUGAAAUCUGAAGAGAAGCUGGGAUAUCUUCAUCGCUGCCCCUCUUUUAUUUUGCAGAGAUCUCAAAUCUUGGGUAAUAUGUUACUUAUAGGAUAAGCGGGAAAAGCAAGAUUCUAGAACCAUAUGCAGAGGCUGUGAGAUUAUAUUCAUUAACUUUGUCAGCAUUAAAACUGUAUCAUUGUAGGUCACACUUAAUAAAAUUGCAUUAUUUUAUGCUCCGUGGGCUUGUAUAGAUGAUAGAAUCUUGCAAUAUAUAGUUGCUUGUCAUACCCCCUAUCACAUAUAAAAAUUUAUGAUAUUAUGUCGAUCAAGUUCUGACAUUUGAUUGUGUAAUUAAAAUUGUUGACAAGUGCUUUUUACUUCUUUUGUUUUCUUUAUUUAAUAUUUUCAUGUAAUCUAUUAUUCAGUCUGUUUCUGUCCAGACUUGGUCUUCAAAGGAGACCUUAGUACCUUUGUUACCGCGGGGGUUUUAAACAGUAACAAACAACACUAAUAUCUUCAGUUUAAAUGUCCAUACUGGGAUUAACUUUCUUUGUGAUCUCUACUAGGAUUUCACUUUUAUGAUAAAUUAUUUUCUCCUUUUAACCCUGUAAUACAAGAAAGUAACAAGCUCAGACACGAGGCCUAACAAAACUAGCGCCCAACAAAUCUGCCAGCAACAAGCUUAAGGAGAUCUCAUCUGGUGGCAUCUCCAUGACCAAAGCAGGUUGCUUUGUUGACAUUGCUGUUCAACUCCCUGGCUCCCCCUGCACAAAGUUUGUUAGUUCUAUCACUCUAAUUGAUUCAAAAAAACUUUAUGUUUUGGCCAAUCUCCUGGUGUUAUUUUCUUUCUGCUCACUUGUACAUGUAUAACUUUUGUUAAUCUAUGCUCAUACUGAUGUAGAAAUGCAUGAGAGGUGUGGAAAACACUAUAAACGAAGGAGCCGAUUUGAUUCUACAGUUACUUUCGGGAAGGACACUGAUUUAGAGCUGGUCUAAAGAAUUAAUCAGUUUAAUUUUUGCGUUAUGUAUUUUGUGUUGGUCAUUAAUGCAUGUAUUCAGUCAAAAAGUCAUAUAGAUGCAUUAAUUACAUAGGUUCAAUGUAUCUAUGGUGCUAUGGACUCCUAUUAAUAGAUUUAUUUGAGCUAAUUUGAAUGAAAAUUUGAGAUUUUGUUUGAUGUGUGAUGCAUCUUUUCCUUGGGUGUGAGGCCUAAGAACCCUAGGUGUGACGCCUAGUUUAAUUUAUCCAUUUUCUCUUUUCCUUCUCUUUCAUUCCUUUUUGUUUAGCUUGCCCUACAUCAAAUGCCUUUCUAUCACAACUGUUGCAUUUUUUUGUCCAUUACAAUGUGAAUGUAUUAGUCCGUGUACUGCACUGAUUUACGUCUAGUGGUUUAAAUUAUACACAUAGUAAUUUUGUGCAGUACUGAGUUAUUUGACAGGUAGGAGACAUCGACUGACAAAAUAACUCAAUGCUGUACGAAACUCGUUAUUCAUCAUUUAGCCGAGGAAAAGCCAGCUAAGUUUUUGACUCGAGGUAUGUGUAUCUUCUUGCAACUUGAGUGGGUUUACAUAUUGAGAGGUGUCAGAAGUUAGACAUGAAUUUGCUUUGAUGUAGACUUCUCAUCUACCUUCUAUUCAGAGGUCAUGACAAUUGACAAGGUAGGUAUAAGUAUUUUGUAUUUUGACAUGUGACAAAUUAUUAUUAGCUGUUACCUUCACUCCUGUGGAAUCUUGAGGUACAAAUUCUGAUCCCUUUCAUCUACUAAGAAUAUGGUAAAUUGAUCAUACAGUAUGCAUGUUACUUGUGAAUCACAUGGUAGAGCUGGUUUGGCCACUUCCAAUCAUUUUAUUUUAAUUCGGAAUUUCGGAACAAGUAUGAGCAUAAAAGGUAUAUAUAUUAUAUAUAUCUAUUAUAUAUAUCAAUUAUCAAUUUUAGAGCCGUAUCCAUCAAAAAGUCAUACAUGCAUUAAUUAGGUAGGUCCAGUGUAUCUAAGGUGCUA
rnacentral:lncRNA from 1 species